CCUGCAGGUUGAUAUACAAGUCUUUUGUUAAAUUUUCAGGCUUAACCUGAAGUCAGCAAAAGAAACUGUUUAUCUUGAGUAUGGUAGAGGUAAGGGGAAUUUCCAGUGGAGCGGUGAAAUGCGUAGAUAUUGGAAAGAACACCAACAGCGAAGGCACCUUACUGGGCCAUUACUGACACUCAGAGACGAAAGCUAGGGUAGCAAACGGGAUUAGAUACCCCGGUAGUCCUAGCCGUAAACGAUGGAUACUAGAUGUUGCGUACUUUAUAGUAUGCAGUGUCGUAGCUAACGCGUUAAGUAUCCCGCCUGGGUAGUAUGCGCGCAAGCGUGAAACUCAAAGGAAUUGACGGGGGCCCGCACAAGCGGUGGAGCAUGUGGUUUAAUUCGAUGCAACACGAAGAACCUUACCAGGACUUGACAUGAAGAGAAGUUUCUUGAAAGAGAAAUGUGCUACGGCCUCUUACACAGGUGGUGCAUGGCCGUCGUCAGCUCGUGUCGUGAGAUGUUGGGUUAAGUCCCGCAACGAGCGCAACCCUUGUUUCUAGUUGAAUCUCUAGAAAGACUGCCGAUUAUAAAUCGGAGGAAGGUGAGGAUGACGUCAAGUCAUCAUGCCCCUUACGUCCUGGGCUACACACGUGCUACAAUGGGUGUGACAAAAAGUUGCCAGUUCGCGAGAACGCGCUAAUCUUUAAACACAUCCCUAGUUCAGAUUGUAGGCUGCAAC
rnacentral:rRNA from 1 species